CACGUAGGGGGCGAGCGUUGUCCGGAUUUAUUGGGCGUAAAGGGCUCGUAGGCGGCUCAGUAAGUCGGGUGUGAAACCUCCAGGCUCAACCUGGAGACGCCACUCGAUACUGCUUUGGCUAGAGUCCGGUAGGGGAGCAUGGAAUUCCUGGUGUAGCGGUGAAAUGCGCAGAUAUCAGGAGGAACACCAGUGGCGAAGGCGGUGCUCUGGGCCGGAACUGACGCUGAGGAGCGAAAGCGUGGGGAGCAAACAGG
rnacentral:rRNA from 1 species